GACAAACGCUGGCGGCGUGCCUAAUACAUGCAAGUAGAACGCUGAAGAGAGGAGCUUACUCUUCUUGGAUGAGUUGCGAACGGGGGAGUAACGCGUAGGUAACCUGCCUUGUAGCGGGGGAUAACUAUUGGAAACGAUAGCUAAAACCGCAUAACAAUGGCAGACACAUGGCAUGUAUUUGAAAGGGGCAAUUGCUCCACGACAGGACGGACCUGCGUUGUAUUAGGUAGUAGGUGAGGUAAUGGCUCACCUAGGCGACGAUACAUAGCCGACCUGCGACGGUGACCCGCCACCCCGGGACUGAGGCCCCGCCCCGACUCCCACCGGCAGCCGCAGUAGGGAAACUUCGCCCAUUGGGGCCAACCUUACCGAGCCACGCCGCCUGAGUGAAGAAGGUUUUCCGAUCGUAAAACUCUGUUGUACGUCAAGAACGGGUGUGAGAUUGGAACGUUCACACUGUGACGGUAGCUUACCAGAAAGCGACGGCUAACUACGUG
rnacentral:rRNA from 1 species